rnacentral:rRNA from 1 species
UCGAACGGCAGCAUAAGUGCUUGCACCUGAUGGCGAGUGGCGAACGGGUGAGUAAUGCAUCGGAACGUGCCCAAUCGUGGGGGAUAACGCAGCGAAAGCUGUACUAACACCGCAUACGAUCUAUGGAUGAAAGCGGGGGACCUUCGGGCCUCGCGCGGUUGGAGCGGCCGAUGUUAGAUUAGGUAGUUGGUGGGGUAAAGGCUCACCAAGCCGACGAUCUAUAGCUGGUCUGAGAGGACGACCAGCCACACUGGAACUGANACACGGUCCAGACUCCUACGGGAGGCAGCAGUGGGGAAUUUUGGACAAUGGGCGCAAGCCUGAUCCANCAAUACCGCGUGCAGGAAGAAGGCCUUCGGGUUGUAAACUGCUUUUGUACGGAACGAAAAGGCUCUUUCUAAUAAAGAGGGCUCAUGACGGUACCGUAAGAAUAAGCACCGGCUAACUACGUGCCAGCAGCCGCGGUAAUACGUAGGGUGCGAGCGUUAAUCGGAAUUACUGGGCGUAAAGCGUGCGCAGGCGGUUUUGUAAGACAGACGUGAAAUCCCCGGGCUCAACCUGGGAAUUGCGUUUGUGACUGCAAGGCUAGAGUACGGUAGAGGGGGGUAGAAUUCCGCGUGUAGCAGUGAAAUGCGUAGAUAUGCGGAGGAACACCGAUGGCGAAGGCAGCCCCCUGGACCUGUACUGACGCUCAUGCACGAAAGCGUGGGGAGCAAACAGGAUUAGAUACCCUGGUAG